AGCCAAUCUCUAGUCCAACCAACACCUACAAAUCCACCACCACCAUAAACUAAAACAUUCUAUGAACCAAGUAUGGGCGACAGAAAAGAACCCACGGCACUAUAGAGACCAAGUACCGCAAGGGAAAGAUGAAAUAACAAUGAAAACCUAAGCACAAAACAGCAAAGAUCAGCCCUUGUACCUUUUGCAUCAUGAUUCAGCAAGAACAACCAAGCAAAGUGAACUUAAGCUUGCCAUCCCGAAACUCUCGCGAGCUACUUACAAGCAGCUACACACUGAGCAAACCCGUCUCUGUCGCAAAAGAGUGGGAUGACUUGUUAGUAGAGGUGAAAAGCCAACCGAGCCGAGUGAUAGCUGGUUACCUGUGAAAUGAGUCCAAGCUCCACACUGAUAAGCUCCAACCAGCCCAAAACAACUGCCAACGAAGACACUCAGAAGUUAUUUAAAGGGGGUACAGCCCCUUUAAAAAAGAACACAAUCUACACCAGCGGAUAACACGAACCAUGACAACAAUGACUUGUAGGCCUUAAAGCAGCCACCAGCAAAGAGUGCGUCAAAGCUCACAUCCUAAAAAUAUAGAAAAUAACGGGAAUCCCUACCCGCACCAACAGGUUAACCUAUGAUGAUAGGAGAAUUAAUGCUGAAAUGAGUAACCAGGGUACUACCCUCGAGGCGCAAACUUACAUCACCACAUAAUUAACCAAGACAACAGAUAUAUCAAACCCCCCCCACAAGAUACUAUAUCACCCAACCCUGUUAAACCAACCCAGGAGCGCCAAACCUACGAAAGAUCUAAACUCGCAAAAGGAACUAGGCAAACCCAGAGCCCGACUGUUUACCAAAAACAUAGCCUUUAGCUAACCAAGUAUUAAAGGUGAUGCCUGCCCAGUGAUAUUAAUUCAACGGCCGCGGUAUCCUAACCGUGCAAAGGUAGCGCAAUCAAUUGUCCCAUAAAUCGAGACUUGUAUGAAUGGCUAAACGAGGUUCUAACUGUCUCCUGCGAACAAUCAGUGAAAUUGAUCUCCCCGUGCAAAAGCGUGGAUAAAUACAUAAGACGAGAAGACCCUGUGGAACUUUAAAAUCAACGACCACAACACCAAAACCCCAUAACCUACUAGGCCCACACCACCAACAAAACAAAUUGGUCCGUAUUUUUAGGCUGGGGCGGCCCUGGGGAAAAGCAAAACCCCCAGAAACAAGACCUCCAAUCUUAACCAAGAGCAACCCCUCAACGUGCUAACAGCCCAAGACCCAGUAUAACUGAGCAAUGAACCAAGCUACCCCAGGGAUAACAGCGCAAUCCCCUCCAAGAGCCCUCAUCGACAAGGGGGUUUACGACCUCGAUGUUGGAUCAGGACAUCCUAAUGGUGCAGCAGCUAUUAAGGGUUCGUUUGUUCAACGAUUAAUAGUCCUACGUGAUCUGAGUUCAGACCGGAGCAAUCCAGGUCGGUUUCUAUCUAUGAUGGAUUUUUCCUAGUACGAAAGGACCGAAAAAAUAAGGCCCAUACCCCAAGCACGCCUUCCCCCCAAGUGAAGAAUUCAACUCAACCACCUACGGGGCCAACAACACUAAUCCUAAAUAAGGACA
rnacentral:rRNA from 1 species